CGGCGGACGGGUGAGUAACGCGUGGGUAACCUGCCUCAUACAGGGGGAGUAACAGUUGGAAACGGCUGCUAAUACCGCAUAAGCGCACAGUACCGCAUGGUACCGUGUGAAAAACUCCGGUGGUGUGAGAUGGACCCGCGUCUGAUUAGCCAGUUGGCGGGGUAACGGCCCACCAAAGCGACGAUCAGUAGCCGGCCUGAGAGGGUGAACGGCCACAUUGGGACUGAGACACGGCCCAGACUCCUACGGGAGGCAGCAUG
rnacentral:rRNA from 1 species